rnacentral:rRNA from 1 species
GUGCCAGCCGCCGCGGUAAAACGUAGGAGGCGAGCGUUAUCCGGAUUUACUGGGUGUAAAGCGCGUGCAGGCGGCUCGAUAAGUUGGAUGUGAAAGCUCCCGGCUCAACUGGGAGAGGUCGUUCAAGACUGUCGGGCUUGAGGAUGGUAGGGGAAGGUGGAAUUCCGGGUGUAGUGGUGAAAUGCGUAGAUAUCCGGAGGAACACCAGUGGCGAAGGCGGCCUUCUGGACCACACCUGACGCUCAGACGCGAAAGCUAGGGUAGCAAACGGGAUUAGAUACCCCGGUAGUCC